rnacentral:ncRNA from 2 species
UCCCCCAAGGAGCGUUGCAGCGGGCCCGUGCCGGCCCGUCAGGCUUGGGGCUGCCAUGGGCCCGGCGCCCUGUGCCCUUCGCAACGACGCUCGCCUGUU